UAGUUUUACAUGUUCUUUUAGACUGAAAUCCAGGCUUAAGCUUAAGCCUGGAUUUCAGUCUAAAAGAACAUGUAAAAC